rnacentral:rRNA from 1 species
UACGUAGGGUGCAAGCGUUGUCCGGAAUUAUUGGGCGUAAAGAGCUCGUAGGCGGUCUGUCGCGUCGGCUGUGAAAACCCGGGGCUCAACCCCGGGCCUGCAGUCGAUACGGGCAGACUAGAGUGCGGUAGGGGAGACUGGAAUUCCUGGUGUAGCGGUGAAAUGCGCAGAUAUCAGGAGGAACACCAAUAGCGAAGGCAGCUCGCUGGGACGUUACUGACACUGAGGCGCGAAAGCGUGGGGAGCGAACAGG